rnacentral:rRNA from 1 species
CGGACGGGUGAGUAACACGUGGAUAACCUGCCUAUAAGACUGGGAUAACUUCGGGAAACCGGAGCUAAUACCGGAUAAUAUAUUGAACCGCAUGGUUCAAUAGUGAAAGACGGUUUUGCUGUCACUUAUAGAUGGAUCCGCGCCGCAUUAGCUAGUUGGUAAGGUAACGGCUUACCAAGGCAACGAUGCGUAGCCGACCUGAGAGGGUGAUCGGCCACACUGGAACUGAGACACGGUCCAG